GACGAACGCUGGCGGCGUGCUUAACACAUGCAAGUCGAACGGAAAGGCCCUGCUUUUGUGGGGUGCUCGAGUGGCGAACGGGUGAGUAACACGUGAGUAACCUGCCCUUGACUUUGGGAUAACUUCAGGAAACUGGGGCUAAUACCGGAUAGGAGCUCCUGCUGCAUGGUGGGGGUUGGAAAGUUUCGGCGGUUGGCGAUGGACUCGCGGCUUAUCAGCUUGUUGGUGGGGUAGUGGCUUACCAAGGCUUUGACGGGUAGCCGGCCUGGGAGGGUGACCGGCCACAGUGGGACUGAGAUACGGCGCAGACUCCUACGGGAGGCAGCAGUGGGGAAUAUUGCACAAUGGGCGGAAGCCUGAUGCAGCAACGCCGCGUGCGGGAUGACGGCCUUCGGGUUGUAAACCGCUUUCGCCUGUGACGAAGCGUGAGUGACGGUAAUGGGUAAAGAAGCACCGGCUAACUACGUG
rnacentral:rRNA from 1 species